rnacentral:lncRNA from 1 species
CUUCCUCCCCUUCCUCUUCAAAGAUCACACAACAGUCCAUGUCAUCCUCCAAACACAGGUUCUUCAUCGCUGCAAGAGCCUCAUUUUCCUAUGAACCGUAAAGACUUUCGAUUGGCUGAAAUGUAUGUUCCAACUGAGGUAUGGGGUGUUCCAAUGGAUAAUAUGGGUCGCGCCAUGGUGGUGAUCACUUUUUGAAUUCUUGCCAAGUGUACUCGUACCCCAGUCCGAAGUUAGUACCAUGUUUCUUCAACUGGAUAGGUUUGGUGAUGCCUUGAAGAUUCUUACCAAGUCCUUUCCCGGUUCAUACCCACUCCAAUUAAGAAUGCUCUCAACCUUGUUACUCCACCAUUUGUCCAUACCCACUGCCUUGACCCGCUCGAUGUGAUGAUAUGUCUUCCCGCCUAUUCUACUUCUUCCUCCAAUCAUUGGAAUGGCCUGGCGACUGUAUAUGGGGUUGCUACAGUCACCAUGGAAGAUAACUUCUUGAUGGUUCCAUUCCAACUUUACAGCCUGAUGAACCGUUGAUACCACAUCUCCAUCGGCGUGGAUCCAAGGUCGUCCCAGCAGUAAGUUCUAAGAGGCUGGUAUGUCAAUGAUUUGGAACUCAACAUCAAACCAAGAAGGUCCCAUUUGCAAGCACAAGCUAAUCUCCCCUAGAGUGGACCUCUGAGAACUGUCAAAAACGUUGAUAGCCCCAUAUUUUAUCUCGUGCAACACUUUGCCCAACUAAUUCAGGGUGAUCAAUAGACAAAUGUUGAGACUAGAACCUCGGUCAACUAGGAUUCUGGUAAUGAAAUGGUCCUCACAUUGCACAGUGAUGUGCACUGCUGUGUUAUGACUGAGCCCUUUAGGCGGCAAUUCAUCUUCAUGAAGGUGAUUUUGUGACUUUCCAAUAUCUUCCCUAUCAUGUUUUCCAUCUCUCCUCCGGUCAUGUUGCUCGAGACAUAAGCCUCGCUCAAUAUCUUCAUCAAGGCAUUUUUAUGCGCCUCAGAACUCUGCAGCAAUGC